rnacentral:rRNA from 1 species
UACGUAGGGCGCGAGCGUUGUCCGGAAUUAUUGGGCGUAAAGAGCUCGUAGGCGGCCGGUUGCGUCUGCUGUGAAAUCCCGGGGCUUAACCCCGGGCGUGCAGUGGAUACGGGCCGGCUGGAGGCAGGCAGGGGAGAAUGGAAUUCCCGGUGUAGCGGUGAAAUGCGCAGAUAUCGGGAGGAACACCGGUGGCGAAGGCGGUUCUCUGGGCCUAUACUGACGCUGAGGAGCGAAAGCGUGGGGAGCGAACAGG